GAUGAACGCUGGCGGCGUGCCUAAUACAUGCAAGUCGAGCGAACAGACGAGGAGCUUGCUCCUCUGACGUUAGCGGCGGACGGGUGAGUAACACGUGGAUAACCUACCUAUAAGACUGGGAUAACUUCGGGAAACCGGAGCUAAUACCGGAUAAUAUAUUGAACCGCAUGGUUCAAUAGUGAAAGACGGUUUUGCUGUCACUUAUAGAUGGAUCCGCGCCGCAUUAGCUAGUUGGUAAGGUAACGGCUUACCAAGGCAACGAUGCGUAGCCGACCUGAGAGGGUGAUCGGCCACACUGGAACUGAGACACGGUCCAGACUCCUACGGGAGGCAGCAGUAGGGAAUCUUCCGCAAUGGGCGAAAGCUUGACGGAGCAACGCCGCGUGAGUGAUGAAGGUCUUCGGAUCGUAAAACUCUGUUAUUAGGGAAGGACAAAUGUGUAGGUAACUAUGCACGUCUUGACGGUACCCAAUCAGAAAGCCACGGCUAACUACGUG
rnacentral:rRNA from 1 species